CGAAAUGCUGGGAUUACAGGCGUGAGCCACCACGCCCGGCCGGGUUUGCAAUUUUUACAUGUCAAGAUGAAAUAAAGGAGAAUAUUAAUUUAACAUUUCAAGAUUUAACAUCUCAAGAUCGCCAAGAUUUUAGGGUGGAAAUCCAAAAUCAUGUUGGCAAUGACAAUGAAAACUGUCUUCUAUCUAGAAAUAAAAAAGAAUAUGAAGAAAAAACAAUGGUGGUGUUAGAGAAAGGACCCACAGAGUCUGAGAAUGUGACAGAAGAGCCCUUCCACGUCUGGGAAUGCAACAAGGAACAUAUUAUAUCUAUUUUUAAAUCUUCAAAAUUCCUGUAGUAGCUGAGAGCUGGAAAUGCUACUUGGAUUAUCUCAUUGUUGGACCUCACCUAACACCCAGUUUCCUUUCCCUCACAUUGUGUACUUGGACUUUGCUCCUGCCAUUUAUGUGCUUCCUGCAAUACCGUCAUAGACCACCAUCACCUCCACAUUCAUUCUCCAACCACUGCUACCACAAUACUCUGACUAAAUGAUAACCUGUGGCUGGAAAGAGUUAGGAUACUUUUCUAAAGCCCAAACUAAAUUCCACUCAACAAAGUAAUUGAAUGGUAUCUUUGUGAGUUUGAAUUGUUAAAUAAGGUCUAAAUGAUAGCAUAGGAAUGAAGAUUAGCAGAAGUCAGUAUGGCAGACAAACCAAGAGACUGGAGCUUCACACUUUGGAGAGACAAUUUGAGUUUUUGUUCCACUAAAUGACAUUCAUACACGAAAGACACCUGAAGAUGUUACAACCACAACACCUCCAGAUGUAUUUCCAAUGGACUCUUCCUUUGAGAUUCAGCUUAACUGAAUAUGUAUUUACUGAUUACCUUCCACACAAAAGGCUUUAUGUUUACUGACUCUUCUGUAAUAAGUACUGUGAUAGGCAAUAGGAAGACAGAGAUAUCAUGCAUUCUCCUUCCUUAAAUAAGUCACAGUGUAAUAGGGAUGACAGACAAUACUAGGAAAAAUGAGCUGUGCUAGAAAUACAAGCAGAAAGAGCUGGGAACUCAGAAAAGGGACAUCAAUUCAUCCUGAAGAGAAAAGUGAUACUUUCGGGAGAGAUAUGUGUGGUGGAUGGCAGUGGGUGAAUGACAAAAGGGAUUGGGACAUAAGGUGAUCUUAGGCAAGGAAACAAAACAGAUAAAAGCACUGGACAAAGCAUAGUACUUUCAGAAACCACAAAUUGGUGUGCUGGGAGCUCAUAUGUAGGUGUGAGAUGAGAUAAGGCUGGGGAGAUAAUAUCAUGGAAUAAUACUAUGAAGGUUUCUAUAUUAUCAGUAUAGAGAGUAUGGAUUUUAUUUACCAACAAUGAAGAGCCAUUGAACCAUUGAGCAGUUUAACCAGGGGACAGGAGAGAGUUACAUUUAAAAAAAUUCUGGAAGCAACAGAAUGAUGAGAUAGAUUUCUGAACUAAAGCAGUGGUCAUGGAAAUGAGAAGGAGGAAUUUAAAAGGGAUUUAGAGUUUCAUCAUUUGAGAAACAAUAAAGGUGUACAAUGAUCCUCAUUUGUAUAUUUAUCUUAAUACUGGGCAUUUGCAAAAAGAAAUGAGUUAGAAAGAGAAAUAAAUGGUUUUGAUGAGGUUGAGUUUGAGAAACACAAGAAAUAUCCAGGAAAGAGCCCUCAAGCACUCAUAGUCUGGGGAAGGUGGUUACAUGUGAACAAAUAAUAGAAUGUGAGUGAUGUGGUUUGGCUGUAUUCCCACCCAAAUCUCAACUUGAAUUGUAUCUCCCAGUAUUUCCACAUGUUGUGGGAGGGACCCAGGGGAAGGUAAUUGAAUCAUGGGGCCGGUCUUUCUCCUGCUAUUCUUGUGAUAGUGAAUAAGUCUCAUAACAUCUGAUGGGUUUCCACUUUUGCUUCUUCCUCAUUUUCUCUUGCCCCUGCCAUGUAAGAGGCACCUUUUGCCUCCCACCAUGAUUCUGAGGCCUCCUCAGCCAUGUGGAACAGUAAGUCCAAUUAAAUCUCUUUUUCUUCCCAGUCUUGGGUAUGUCUUUAUCAGUAGCAUAAAAACAGACUAAUACAGUGAGUACAUAGUAAAGGCAUAGACACUGGUUGUUUAGAAUAUAGUUCACCUUUCCUAAGAGACAGUCUUAUAGAGGCAAUGGCACAGAAAAUCUCUCACAGGAGAGGUAAUAUGUAAGAAGAGUCUUGAAGAUCCUUAAAUGUGGAAAGGAAAAAGAAAAAAAAAAGUACUAAAGUACAGGAUCAUAAAGUUCCAUGUAGUGGGGCUCUGGAUAGUUCAAUAGUACUAGACCACAGAACAGACCAAAAAGAAGGAAUGACUGAAGAUUAUAUGAGGC
rnacentral:lncRNA from 10 species